rnacentral:rRNA from 1 species
UCGGGAAUUUUGGGCAAUGGGCGAAAGCCUGACCCAGCAACGCCGCGUGAAGGAUGAAGUAUUUCGGUAUGUAAACUUCGAAAGAAUAGGAAGAAUAAAUGACGGUACUAUUUAUAAGGUCCGGCUAACUACGUGCCAGCAGCCGCGGUAGUACGGGGGGUGCAAGCGUUAAUCGGAAUUAUUGGGCGUAAAGGGUGCGUAGGUUGUUUGAUAAGAUAUAUGUGAAAUACCUGGGCUCAACCUGGGAAGGUCAUAUAAGACUGUCAGACUCGAGUAUGGGAGAGGGUAGAGGAAUUUCCGGUGUAGCGGUGAAAUGCGUAGAUAUCGGAAGGAACAUCGGUGGCGAAGGCGUCUACCUGGCCUAAUACUGACACUGAGGCACGAAAGCGUGGGGAGCAAACAGGAUUAGAUACCCCGGUAGUCCCUGAGCGGGCUGGCAAGGCGCAU